AUACGGAGGGGGCUAGCGUUGUUGGGAAUUACUGGGCGUAAAGCGCGCGUAGGCGGCCUGGCAAGUUGGGCGUGAAAGCCCGGGGCUCAACCCCGGAUGUGCGCCUAAAACUACCAAGCUAGAGGCCGAGAGAGGGUGGCGGAAUUCCCAGUGUAGAGGUGAAAUUCGUAGAUAUUGGGAAGAACACCAGUGGCGAAGGCGGCCACCUGGCUCGGUACUGACGCUGAGGUGCGAAAGCGUGGGGAGCAAACAGGAUUAGAAACCCCAGUAGUCC
rnacentral:rRNA from 1 species